rnacentral:misc_RNA from 1 species
AAGUCGUAACAAGGUUUCCGUAGGUGAACCUGCGGAAGGAUCAUUAAAUAAUUUGAAUGUGUUCUUUUGAGCAUAUUUCUAAUUUACUGUGAACUGUUUUACUGUUUAGCGUUUUGAGGGAUGCUUAUUGACUAUAGGGAUAGGUCAGUAGGAUGUUAACCUAGCUAAAGUCAGGCUUAGGCCUGGUAUCCCAAUUCAUUUAUUUACCAAAAGAAUUCAGAAUUAAUUAUUGUAACAUAAGCGUAAAAAACUUAUAAAACAACUUUUAACAACGGAUCUCUUGGCUCUC